GAUCCUCCUAAACUACUCCUGGUCGUCGUCAGCGGGCUGCACGCAGUAGUAGGCACCUCCCGAGUAGUAGUAGUAGUCGUCGACGGUGGCGCCUGGCUCCUGGGCUCCAUCGUCUGUUCGUAGCAAUCGGGUAUAGAAAGGGGGAAAAGAGGGAACAAAGCAACCGUGAGUACUCAUCCAAAGUACUCGCAAGCAAGGAGCUACACUACAUAUGUAUGCAUUGGUAUCAAAUGGAAUAAGGGUAUCAUAUGUGGACUGAACUGCAGAAUGCCAGAAUAAGAGGGGGAUAGCUAGUCAUAUCGAAGACUAAGCUUUUGAUAACCUCCAUCUUGCAGCAGAAAAAGAGAGUAGAUGGUAAGUUCACCAAGUAACAUCGCAUAGCAUAAUCCUAACCGAUGAUCCUCCGUUCGACGCCCUGUGAGAGAGCGAUCACCGGUUGUAUCCGACACUUGGAAGGGUGUGUUUUAUUAAGUAUCCGGUUCUAGUUGUCAUAAGGUCAAGGUACAACUCCAAGUCGUCCUGUUACCGAAGAUCACGGCUAUUCGAAUAGUUUAACUUCCCUGCAGGGGUGCACCACAUAACCCAACACGCUCGAUCCCAUUUGGCCGGACACACUUUCCUGGGUCAUGCUCGACCUCGGAAGAUCAACACGUCGCAGCCCUACCUAGGCACAAUAGAGAGGUCAGCACGCCGGUCUAAAUCCUAUGACGCAGGGGUCUGGGCCCAUCGCCCAUUGCACACCUGCACGUUGUGAGGGCGGCCGGAAGCAGAACUAGCCCCUUAAUACAAGAGCAGGCUUACGUUCCAAUCCGGCGCGCGCCGCUUAGUCGCUGACGUCACGAAGUGCUUCGGCUGAUACCACAACGUCGAGUGCCCAUAACUGUCCCCGCGUAGAUGAUUAGUGCGUAUAGGCCAGUGGCCAGACUCAGAUCAAAUACCAAGAUCUCGUUAAGCGUGUUAAGUAUUCGCGAACGCCGACCAGGGCCAGGCCCACCUCUCUCCUAGGUGGUCUCAACCUGCCCUGUCGCUCCGCCACAAAGUAACAGUCGGGGGCCGUCGGGAACUCAGGCCCACCACUACCUGGAUGGAGCCACGUGCCCCUUCAGCCCCCAUCUCCAAACAGUAUCACCGGUAAUGUAACAGUGCAAGUAUAUAGUAUAUGCCGGUGAUCACCUCCCGAAGUGAUCACGUCCCAGUAGUAUAGCAUGGCAGACGGACAAGAAUGUAGGACCACUGAUGAUAAACUAGCAUCCUAUACUAAGCAUUAGGAUUGCAGGUAAAGGUAACAACAGUAUUAGCAAGGACAGACUAUGCAUCAGGAUAGGAUUAACGGAAAGCAGUAACAUGCUACACUACUCUAAUGCAAGCAGUAGAGAGAAGAAUAGGCGAUGUCUGGUGAUCAAAGGGGGGGGGGCUUGCCUGGUUGCUCUGACAAGAAGGAAGGGUCAUCGUCGAUGUAGUCGAACACACGGACAUCGGCAGCGGUCUCGAAGUCUACCGGAAAGAAGUAACGGAGGGGGAACACAAUAAAUAACAGAGCAAUCAAAUGUAACACAAAGCAAGACGCGGCAAUACGUUGUGCUAGGGGUAACCCAUCGCAGGGAUAGGUAAUACCGGCAAAGGGGGUAAACAUCCGGAAAAGUAUUCCCGAUGUUCGGUGUUUUCGGACAAACGGACCGGAGGGGGACGGUUGUAGGUUCGCUAUGCUAGGAACGUGUGUCGGACAAAUGGACCGCGUAUUUGGAUUCAUCUCAUUGUUCUGAGCAACUUUCAUGUACAAAGUAUUUUCAUCCAAGUUACUGAUUAUUUUAUACUAAUUUUUAAAGUUUAAUUUAUUUUCUAGAAUUAACAUAUUAUUCUAAUUCGGGUUGACUAAGUCAAUUUGACUAGUCAAAAGGGGAUGUGUGGCCCACAUGUCAUAGACUAUUUACCUAAACAAAUAAAUAAAUCUAACUUAUUUAAAGUGGGGGCCUACAUGUCAUCUACUACUAGACUAAUUUAGCACUAACUAAUACUACUAGCUACUAAUCUAACCGGCUACACACAACACAUAUGCACACAACCUACGCCAUGGAUGGCUAGCAGUAGCAGCUUGCGGCAACAGGCAGCAUUAGCAGCGGCAACUAGCACUGGCAGCCGGGGAGCAGCAAGUAGCAGCGGCCAGGAGCAAAACAGCAGCAAGCGGUGGCUGCAGCGACGCAGUAAAGCAGCAGCGACACUAGAGUAGCAGCGGCACCAACAGGGAGCGGAGCGCAGCAGCGGCGUUAAGGCUAAACGCAGUAGGCAGAGCAGCGCGAAGGCGGGGCGCGAGGAGCGGGUGCACGCGUGGGCGCGACCCGGGAGCGGCGUGCUCGGCCGCGGACGCGGCUAGGGGCGCGGGAGGACGCCCACGACGCAGCGACCGCGAGCUCGCGGGAGCUCGGGCGCGAGGUGAUGCGGCCGCCUACGGUGACAGAUCGACGUAGAGGAGAGAGGGGAACGAAGGUGCUGCUCACGGCGGUGCUCGUGGAGGGCUCGGGGAAGCCGAAGGAGGUCGGAGCGGUGCAGAUCGAAGGAAGCAGUGGCGGCCGGCGUUGACGAACACGGAGUCGUUCGCGAGGGAUGGCGGCAAUCCUAGGAGGCUCCUUGCGCCAGGAGGGGGCGGGCGUCGCGGUGCUUCUCUUGGUGUGGUCCUGGACAUCGAGAAGGCGUCUGGUUGCGACAGCGAUGAGGGUGAUGGUGACCGCGUCGGCCGUGGAUUUGUUCUUCGUCCAAAUCGACACAAGCGGCGCAGGGGAAAAAC
rnacentral:lncRNA from 1 species